rnacentral:rRNA from 1 species
GGUCAAGCGAAUAANCGCAC